UACGUAGGGUGCGAGCGUUGUCCGGAAUUAUUGGGCGUAAAGGGCUCGUAGGCGGUUUGUCGCGUCGGGAGUGAAAACCCGGAGCUCAACUCCGGGCCUGCAGUCGAUACGGGCAGACUGGAGUUCGGCAGGGGAGACUGGAAUUCCUGGUGUAGCGGUGAAAUGCGCAGAUAUCAGGAGGAACACCGGUGGCGAAGGCGGGUCUCUGGGCCGAUACUGACGCUGAGGAGCGAAAGCGUGGGGAGCGAACAGG
rnacentral:rRNA from 1 species